rnacentral:lncRNA from 1 species
CGUAUGCAUUUUUUAUACUCACGCUGAUCCUUCAAUGACGACAGUGUAAGGUAAAGCCCAAUGAUUUAGCAUUCAUAACAAGAAUCUGUCUUUCUUACUCUAUAAUGGGCGCACCAUUCAUUCGCAGGCAAGCAGCGGGAAGCAGGAAAAGGGGGACUAGACGGCACCAGGCAGUAAGUGGCCAUCAUGCAGGUGCAUACACUGACAUUAUGCCUUGCCAUUUUACAUUCCAAGGACACGAGCAGAAGGACAAGCGCAAGGAACAGGACAAGCGCAAGGAUGGUAAGGAUAUGAACAAGAGUCGGGCUCAAACGGGACGUGGCAGGCCACGUAACGGCCGUUCGGAGGUAUGAAGCCUCUGGUGCAAGACCAUGGCUAUUAACUAAAUGCUUUUUAUUGCGUUAUUUCGAGGCACGUUAUGCCGGUGUCACACCUACAGCCGUCAUUGCACGUAACACGCUCACAACUAUGUGUUCCUGCCUAAACAAUGAUUUGUUGUGAUGCAGAAAUAUGCCUUCCGUCGUGAACAUGACACGCGAGCGGAGGCGAGGAUUGAGCGCUUUAACAAGAAGACAAUAGUGGCGGUAUUGUGGUACAGUUACAUGCGCUUAGCUUUUGUGUGCCCAUUUUUUCUGACGUUUAGACUGUUGAACCCGUUUACAUGGAGUUGCUGGCUGAGUUGCAUUAGGAUUUGCUAUGAAUUCGUACCUGUUAUUCAGGAAUAGUUGAAAUGUAUGAAGAAAACAGUGAGUGCUGUGGUUCACAGGUCAUGUGCAACGGCGGUGCACUUUGCACAUUGUACAGCUCGUGUACUGCUAUUGUAAUGCUUUUGUAUUGCACGGUUGGCCGUACAGUUCGCAGUCCCGCACGCAAAUCGCAGUCACUCGCGUAAAAUUCAAAUGGUAGCACAUGAAUUCGCAGGAUUCGCAGUCGCGUAGCCAUUCGCAAUCCCUUGGCGAUGCGCUUGCGUUAAAAGUCAC